rnacentral:rRNA from 1 species
GACGAACGCUGGCGGCGUGCCUAAUACAUGCAAGUAGAACGCUGAAGGAGGAGCUUGCUUCUCUGGAUGAGUUGCGAACGGGUGAGUAACGCGUAGGUAACCUGCCUGGUAGCGGGGGAUAACUAUUGGAAACGAUAGCUAAUACCGCAUAAUAGCAGUUGUUGCAUGAUAACUGUUUGAAAGGUGCAAUUGCACCACUACCAGAUGGACCUGCGUUGUAUUAGCUAGUUGGUGGGGUAACGGCUCACCAAGGCGACGAUACAUAGCCGACCUGGGAGGGUGAUCGGCCACACUGGGACUGAGACACGGCCCAGACUCCUACGGGAGGCAGCAGUAGGGAAUCUUCGGCAAUGGACGGAAGUCUGACCGAGCAACGCCGCGUGAGUGAAGAAGGUUUUCGGAUCGUAAAGCUCUGUUGUAAGAGAAGAACGAGUGUGAGAGUGGAAAGUUCACACUGUGACGGUAUCUUACCAGAAAGGGACGGCUAACUACGUG